rnacentral:lncRNA from 1 species
AUGCUGUAGUUGUAUGACUGAUCCUUUGACCUGAGAUGGCACUACUACUCACAGUGAGGCUGCUGGAAUUUGACUGACAUAUCAACAUGAAUCUCAAUGAGCCCUUGUAGUGGUGUUGGUGACAGUUGGUCGACUGUAGGAAUGGGGUGUGCAUCAAAAUGAGAUCUAUUGAUCUUAGCAGAAGGGAGUAGUCUUAUGAGAUUUAAGAGACUGAGUCCUUAAAUCUAUGGCCAUAGCAGUGUGAUUGAUAGAAAGAAGUUUUCAUAGAAUCACAUAUGGACUCGAACUGAUUGAAUCUAUCAUAUGACCGAUG